CACACACACACACCAGUACGAUAUCAGCCAACAGCCCUACAGGUAACACACACACACACACACACACACACACACACACACACACACACCAGUACGAUAUCAGCCAACAGCCCUACAGGUAACACACACACACACACACCAGUACUAUAUCAGCCAACAGCCCUACAGGUAACACACACACACACACCAGUACGAUAUCAGCCAACAGCCCUACAGGUAACACACACACACACACACACCAGUACGAUAUCAGCCAACAGCCCUACAGGUAACACACACACACACACACACACACAGUACAUAUCAGCCAACAGCCCUA
ensembl:lncRNA